rnacentral:lncRNA from 1 species
GCCUAACCAAUGCUAUUUACUUAUUUCCUACGGUUUGCAUCGAAGCGAAAUAUUUUCCUAAGAAGAUCAAAUAAUACUAAACAAGAUUCAGAAAAUAGCACUCCAACACGAGUCGUGUAGGGGAGUGCGAAAGGUGAGGCGCGAGGUGAGAUCUGAGUGGAGGGUGUAUGGGCCCCACGUGGCGGCUUCGUUUGCACGUCGCAGUGGAUCCCAACUCAAGCGACGUUGAGUGAUCGCCUGACACGUGGCCUCCUCUCCAUUUCGAAAUUAAAUAAAUUGCGAUACGACAAACUAGUAUAUUAAUUGAUUUAAUUGGACAUUUGGUUUGAUGUUGCUACGUUAUUAUUGUUGGAAAUCCUUGACAUCAUCUAAUGAUACGCAGCGAAAAUAACAGUCAAGGAAAAGAUCUAGAUUUACAAUUGAUUCAUGUGUAGAGAUUACAAACACACAACAACAGUUAGAAUGACUUACUUGUUGUGUAGCAAACAAUCCUGUAGCAAUUCUUCUAGCAAUCCUGCAGUUGAAUCCACUACUAUGGUAUCCACGCAUAUUGCAGAUUCGAUGCAGGAACAAUUCCCGAUGCACAAUUCAAUCAUCGAAAGCUAGGAAAUCUCCGAUUGAAUUCUAUAGUGCUCUAAGUGUUUUAUCUCUUGUGAGUAUCUCACGUGUGUUCUUCUCUUGCAGACAAAAGAAAUAUAUUCCUAUUCUUAUAGGAAUAAGACACGCCUGUAACCCUAGGUUAAACAGGCCGGGCUUUUCUUUUGUCUCCAAUUAAUUAAUCCAAUAGUCAAACUAUUUACUAAUUAAUUAAAGCUUAUUAGAAUAUAUCAAAUAUAUCCUAAUCUAGUCCAUAUAUCUUUCAAUCUCCCACUUGGACUAGUAUUAGAUUAAACACCAAGCACUAUCUUUGCACCCUUGAGCGAAUCAACAAUACACAUAAAGUGUGACCCAAUAGGCCUUCAUUAUCGUCGAUAAUCAAAUUAAAGUCUACACAAAACUCCUAGACUGCGUUGUGUAGCGAACUCGAUAUAUGAAGAACGUUUACGUGGAUUCUGUAAACAAAACCUUUAUGCGAAGAUAUAGUAACAUCCUUUCAUUCACGAACCACUCGAUAGAGCCUAGAAUUUGCCAUUGUGUCUUUCUAAUAGCUCUAUCAAUUUAUCUCAUCUUUAUUAAAUGACCUCCAUCGAUCAUGUUCAACUUUUAAAGUUCGAACAUAUCAAUUGCACUGGCCAGUGACUUAACGGUCAAGUAAUAUAGAGAAACUGAGUGUUCUUCUCGAAAUGUAAAUCGAGGAAUGAAUCCUAUCUUGGCACAACUACCACCUUCCCUUAUAUCCCGAUAUACCCAACACAAGCCGUAUCUACCCCUUUGGUUGGAGUGCAAGCAUUGUACUUGGUCAAAGUAUACCAUUCAAUAAGUAAGAUAAGCAUUGCCCUCAAGUCAAAGGACUGUCACAAUCUCCACACACCAAUAAUCAUAGACACCAAAACAAAUGAUAUAUUGGUUGGGUAUGCCAAUACUCUCUAAAGUAUCCAUGCAUCUAUCACGAGUAUCUAAUAUCUCAUAGUCGUGGGAACAACUAUAUUCUCUAAGAAUGUGAUACAGAUCGCAUGCCAACUUAUAACAUAUCAUCAAUAUCCCAAUCUUGAUGAUCCUUAGUUGGGGCUCUUUAAGAGCUAUACUCUAUUGCUAAUCUCCCACUAAAUUAGCAACAGUAUUAACUCAUGGGAACAUUUAAUUGAAUGAAAACAAAUAAUCAAAGUAAUCAAUCAAAUAAAUGCAUAAUGCCAUUAGUGACAUCAAAUGUCAUAAAUGUGAUCAAGUAAUAAGUCUCAACACAGAUUAUUUCUAGACAUAUUACUUUUAACUCCCACUGACUAAAGCCAGUCUCGAAGAUAUCCAAUUCCAAACACUCAAAGUGUUUGUUAUGAUUCACAAUGCAUAACAAUUGGUCAAANAAAUGGGAUUGAUUAGGCGUGGGGGAGUUGGUUUCGUAGUUUUAAUUAGUGAGUUGUGUGGGUUAAUUGCAUAGAUUAAAUAAAAGUGUGGAUUUAUUAAUGACAUAAGUUGUAAAUAAAUUGAAAAGUAAAGGGUAUGAAUGUACAAAAAGGUAAACAUGGCACUUUUUCGUGGACAGAAAAAAAGGGGUAAGUAGGGCACUUUUUCGUGGACAGAGGGAGUACCUUUUAUUUAUAUUUUCACUUUUACACCUACCACACUCAACAUAUAAAAUAUCAAUUUUUUAAAAUUCGUGUCUAAAAGAACUUGGUCAUAUUUCAUUGGACGGAAGGAAUGAGUAAAAUAAAAGAGUUAGUUUCUAAAUUAGAAUUUUGCAAAUAUUAUUCCAUCUAAUCAACAAGGCCUAACCAAUGCUGUUUACUUAUUUCCUACGGUUUGCAUCGAAACGAAAUAUUUUCCUAAGAAGAUCAAAUAAUACUAACAAACCAGGGGGCUUAGCCCACUGGCCACCGGGUCCUCACUUAAGUGAAGUGACCCGGGUUCGAUCCCUCUUGGGAACGAAUUGGUGAUUGGAGAUAUAAGGUGGAGUUUGGUGAAUGGAGAGAUAAGGUGGUUCUUGGAGUGGAUGGGGAACUAACUACUAACAUCUAACAUGACUUUGACCGAUCAAAAAAAAAAAAAUAGCACCCCAGCACGAGUCGUGUAGGGGAGUGCGAAAGGUGAGGCGCGAGGUGAGAUCUGAGUGGAGGGUGUAUGGGCCCCACGUGGCGGCUUCGUUUGCACGUCGCAGUGGAUCCCAACUCAAGCGAUGUUGAGUGAUCGCCUGACACGUGGCCUCCUCUCCAUUUCGAAAUUAAAUAAAUUGCGAUACGACAAAC